UACGUAGGCAGCAAGCGUUGUUCGGAGUUACUGGGCGUAAAGGGUGUGUAGGCGGUUUUCUAAGUUUGGUGUGAAAUCUCCCGGCUCAACUGGGAGGGUGCGCCGAAAACUGGAAAGCUAGAGUACUGGAUGGGAGAGUGGAAUUCCUGGUGUAGCGGUGAAAUGCGUAGAUAUCAGGAGGAACACCUGUGGUGUAGACGGCUCUCUGGACAGUCACUGACGCUGAGACACGAAAGCGUGGGUAGCAAACAGG
rnacentral:rRNA from 1 species